rnacentral:tmRNA from 1 species
GGGGGCGACCGGUUUCGACGGGAUAAGAUCGUUGUUAAACUGCAUGCGGAGAUCCCGGAAUUCUCCUAAAUCAUCCGGACAUUCAUACAUGCCGAUUACGGCUACAUGGCUGCAGCUUAAGACUGUGGCUCGUCCUUUAUCCGAUUUGUCUGUGGUUAGAUAAAAGGGCGUCGAUUACACAGACUGGUUCCUGUUACUGCCCAUAAUUCAGGAAUAAGAU